CGCGGACCGAGACAGGGCCUUUUCCGAUGGUGGAAUAGCUAACGCGACAGUAGCAGCCUUCUGUGGAGAAAUUCGGAGAUUUGAUAUUGAGAGAUUCGAGACUGUGAACCCUGGUGAGCUGGAAUUCCCCUUGCUGCGCGUGGUGCUUAGCAUGACCUGCAGCUCCAGAUUGAUGCUCAGUGGAUUCAGAAUUUUUGAAGACAAGGAUCUUCCAGGAUGGUCUCCAGAGUCUUUGCUGCUGACCCCGACCAGCCAUAAGUGGGUGCUGGUGAAGCCUGCUUAAACACUGCAGUAAAGGUCCCUCUCUAUCUCCCUACACAUCCACCAACCACUGGAACACAUCUCCAAAGUUCUGCAGGGCCAGCUCAGCUUCCCCUCAGAAGAAGUGCCGCCACCUGCCAGAUGAAGGAGCCUUUUGAGAGGCAGCUGGCAUCGUGAUUGGACUGUACUUUGGUCUGUUCCAAUCCAGCUUCAGCUCCAGAGACGGCAGGCGGGACGAGUCAACGGAGGCCGGAUGGACGAAGGCAUGCAGCUGAGUACAAUCCAGAAAACAACAGAGGAGGAGUGCAGCGGCCCAGAGCCAGAACAACCAGAGUAGCAUCGUCUCUUAGAAAACAUCAUAGUAUAGCCUUUGGUAUGACAAAACGCCAUCAUAUACAUCGUAUAUUGUACAAAUAACAAGUCAAAGAAAAGAGACAUACAUUGUAGAAUUAUAGUAAUUGUGGGCUGACUGAUUUACUGAUUAUCAGUAUUUUAUUUUUUACUGAUUUAUGGUAAUAAAUCAAUUUAAAAAUAGUGCUACUUUGGCUCUGAACCUUUAUCUACCUGUGGUCGCUCUGUCUUCUGGAGUGAUUUGAUUGGUUAUACAUCACGAAUAAAACUCCUUUAACUUAACAUCUGUAAACAAAACAAAAAUGUAUCAACAAAGUUUUCUGUUAGAGUUUUUGUUCUUCUAAGUUUAAAUCCAAGAUUUUAAAUACUUUCGUUUACUGCAAAUGAAUAUCUACUCCAAAUGUCUCACUAAUAAUCAUUAUCAGCCUUAAAAACCCACAAAACACCCCUCUAUACUCGACCACACUUAGUACAGUCUAGUUUCCCCUUCUAUAAAUCUGCUUGGAAUCGUCCACUUCCUGUUUGUCAAAGUGGCCUUCUACCUGGACAGGUUUUGUUGGAGCACAUGCAUCAAACAUUUUGGGUAACUGCACUUUAAUAUGGAUGGAUGACACUGAAUUAGAGUCUGUUUUAAUGAGAUUGAGUUAAGAUGUGUAGCUCUGUCAUUAAAUAGGAAAUUAUUUCUCAGAAUUCACAGAGAAAAGUGAAAUGUUUGCUAGGUUAGCAUCCCACAUGUUCUUUGGCUCAGCUAAAGCUAACUCUCUCCAACUUCUGGAUCUCUUGAGUUGCUUGUUAAAAUAUCUUGCUGGAGGUGCUGAAGUUCAGAAAGUCUGAGAUGUUUGUUCAAAAUAAGCUCAUUCUCAGGUCUUAUCUGAACUGUCCUCUUUUGUUUGUACUUUCCCUAAACUUAGGAGUUAAUGACAGAGCAGCACAUCCAGACUCAGUCUCAUUUAUGUAGAGAUUAAACUUCAUUGUCAUUCAUUGAUGUUAAAGUGCAGUUUUUCAAAUGUUUGUUGCACAUGCUCCCGACCAAACCAGUCCAGGUAGAAGAUGAUGUGAAGAGAAAGCUCCAGAGGAUGAAUAUCGCACAUUUAUGUUGGAAAUAAAUGUCCUUUCAUUAGACAUUGUCAUGCAAAAGUUGGAUUUCCCUUUAAUGAUGUUCAAAUCUUUGUUGAGUGUUUUGUUGAUGUUGGUUUCUAAAUGUUUUUUGACACUCGGCCCCAAGGAUUUAAACCUUUUACGGCUCACCAGCUGCCACAAUUCACACAUUAUCAACUAUCUUUCUGACAAAACUAAGAUAAAAAGUGAAAAACUGUCUGAUUCCUGCAUCAUGAAUGUAAAUCUUUUUGGUUUUUAUGACAGUAAACUGAAUAUAUUUGGGUUUGACAUUUUAUAAACCAAAACAAGAAAUGAAUUAGUGGAGAAAACAAUCAACAGAGUAAUGGACAAAGAAAAUGUGUUUUCCAACAUAUAUGGCUGAAUUACUCCAACAUUACAAGAUACAUACAAUUUUAAUAUAAUUUUAUUUAUAUAAUGCCAAUUACAGGUCAGAUUGUCUCAAGAUGCUUUAUUUUUAUUUAUUUUUUUGUCAUAUUUAAAAUAUGACAAAGUAAGAAAUUUAAACCUCUUGACUAAUCCAAUGUAUUAUUUGGUUUUUAAGAGACUAAUCGACAACUAAAAUAACUUUCUCCACUAAAACUAAUAAACAUUAGGUCAAAUAGAAGGAACAGUUUUAAAUACUGCGGUCCCACGACGACAAGAAUAAAGUUUCUCAACAAAAACUAAA